GGGGGUGAAUUGCAUCGACAGGGUGUGAAAGCCUGGGAUGCGUGCCGCAGAGAAAGCGUCAAAAUUCAAAAAACUGAAAAUGCCGAUCUUCUAGAUGGCGUUCCUGAUGGACUCACUGAGGAGGAUGCUCGCAUCCUCGUCGGUGAGGAAAUCGCUGUUACAGCUUAGGCUAUAACAGGUGUCCGUGGAAUCUCCUGCUCCUGAGAGGAAACGGAUGCUGGACAGUAAGAGGGGCUAGUCGCACAAACGCCUUUUAAUGUGCGAUGAAAUUUAGAAGGCUAUGCCGUGACGACCGCGCUGAUUCGGGCGAGUAACGAUAUCGUUACUAACGGUGAAACCAAAAAGUCAGCUAUGCACGUAGAUUCCUCGGUGGAAGCACAACUGGACCCGAGUUCACUGCUCGGCACCUCCAUCA
rnacentral:tmRNA from 1 species